UUGAAGGCUUUAGGAAGAAUGCAGAAUGGAAAGAGAUCACUCAUGUGGUCAACAGUAUUGCCGUAGUAAAUCGGACACCAGCUGAAGUUUAUUUAAUUUAUACAUUCUUGACGUAUUUUCUAUGGGCCUG